rnacentral:lncRNA from 13 species
GAAGCAAUGGUUUUUCUCAAGCAAGUGCCUUCCUGCGUAUUUCACUGCCCUUGAGAAGCUGGAUGCUGCCAGAGGGAGGGAAGCCAUGAGAACAGGCUGCUAUUCACUCAACUCUUCUUGACCUUGGAGAUCUUUUUUAAUGUGUGGGAAAAUAACACAAAAUAUUCCUGACAGUUUUGUGUAUUUUCCUUGCUGGUGGAUGUAAGCAAGAUGCUUUCUAUUACUAAAUGUACCCAAGCCCCAGCCUGUGGCUAUCAAGAAGGUUAUGUCAACAUAAAAGUCACAUUUUAAUUUUCUGUCACCCCAUACCCGCCUGCUGAUUCAGGAUCUUAGCCUGGCCACCCGGCUUCUCCCACCGCCCCCAAUGUUUCUGGGACUGCCUGGAGCAGCUUGGAUGCUCUGUGGCUCAGCUCCAUCACAGUCUUCGGUCCAGCUGCUGUUAUGCUCCUUGUGGGGAGGCCCUGCUCUGCUGUCCCUUCACCUGGCGGUCUCCAGCGGGGCUGCUGAGGCUGUCUCCGGAGCUCCUGAAGAGGCAAGUCUGUUGAAGGCCUGCCUGAAUCCCAGUGUGGUCACCUUGUGCCCUGAGACUAGGGGACAGGUGAUGCCCAGCAGCCCGGCAGCCCCUUCCAGGAGGUAUUUGCUGGCCCUGCUCCUCUGCAUCCUGAAGGGGAGCCCACCCACCUGCAAGGGUCUUGCGCUGUCACUGAGGCUGGAGUGGAGUGUCACAAUCAUGGCUUACUGCAACCUUGACCUCCUGGGCUCAAGCUAUCCUCCCACCUCAGCCUCCUGAGUAGCUGGAACUACAGAAAGAAGAUAGAUGUGGUGCAUGAAUUAUCUGUGUUCGUGUCCAAGGCUGUGGUUAUGAAUGUGUGUGUAAUU